rnacentral:lncRNA from 1 species
GACAGGACGAUCAGAGAAGGCUAUUCCUGAUUAUGGCCGUGGAGCUAGCCCAAGUUCCCCUCGUCGAGAGAGGACUAACUCUGAUUAUGUUCGUGCCAAUAGCCGCAGCCGCAGUCGCAGCCAGAGCCAAAGUCCACGACAAAGAGAGAGGACUAAGCCUGAUUAUGGCCAUGAAAGGAGUGUGAGUCCUGAACAAAGAGAGAAGGCCAAUCCUGAUUAUGGGCGUGGUCCUAGCCGAAGUUCCCCACGUAGAGAGUAUGACCGUGGUCCCAGCCAAAGUCCCCAGCAAGGUGAGAGGGCC